rnacentral:lncRNA from 1 species
AAAAGGGCUGUAGCUAAGUGUGAAGGCCCUAAGUUCAAUUUCAGUAUUGCAAAGAAAUAAAUCAUCAGUUUAGAGAUAUUAACAAGUAAGAAGAAAAUACCAAUGAUUUCCUGUUCAUCUGUUUUUUCUAGCCCAGCCUCAGCAUGCUCUGAUCUUCCCAUCCACUCUCCUCCUCUGGCUGCUGAUAUUGUAUCAAAAACUCCUGCAGGACAAUGGGUUCUUCAUGUGUUAUUUACAAAGCCCUCUCUGGGAAAAGGACUGGAGAGGAAAGAAAACCCUAAGGCAAUGUCCUUCACCUAUAAGAAAUAUACAUCGCAAGGCUGGGGCUCAUUGAAGGGCUCAGUGGUUCCGCCACCUGCUUCGCAAGUGCAAGUUCCCGAGUUCGAUAUCAGGGAUCGAACUCAGGUCCUUGCACUUGCAAGGCAGGCGACGGAACCACUGAGCUAA